rnacentral:rRNA from 1 species
UACGUAGGUGGCGAGCGUUGUCCGGAUUUACUGGGCGUAAAGGGAGCGUAGGCGGACUUUUAAGUGAGAUGUGAAAUACCCGGGCUCAACUUGGGUGCUGCAUUUCAAACUGGAAGUCUAGAGUGCAGGAGAGGAGAAUGGAAUUCCUAGUGUAGCGGUGAAAUGCGUAGAUAUUAGGAGGAACACCAGUUGCGAAGGCGGCUCUCUGGACUGUAACUGACACUGAGGCACGAAAGCGUGGGGAGCAAACAGGAUUAGAUACCCGGGUAGU